rnacentral:rRNA from 1 species
UACAGAGGGUGCGAGCGUUGUUCGGAAUUAUUGGGCGUAAAGAGCUCGUAGGCGGCUUAGAAAGUCAGGUGUGAAAACUCUGGGCUUAACCCAGAGACGCCACUUGAUACUUCUAUGGCUUGAGUUCGGUAGGGGACCAUGGAAUUCCUGGUGUAGCGGUGAAAUGCGCAGAUAUCAGGAGGAACACCGAUGGCGAAGGCAGUGGUCUGGGCCGAUACUGACGCUGAGGAGCGAAAGCGUGGGGAGCGAACAGG